rnacentral:tRNA from 1 species
GGGCGGGUAGCUCAGUUGGUUAGAGCGCGACGUUGACAUCGUCGAGGUCAGGGGUUCGAGACCCUUCUCGCCCA